rnacentral:misc_RNA from 1 species
CGCCGCGAGCCCCAGAAUGAUCCAAAGCAGGAGAUGGCUGAAGCGGGCGAUCUGCCGGGUGAGUGGAGUUGAAAUAUCGCUUGAUUCAUGGACGAGCCGCGCGAUGCGACCCAUUUCGGUCUGAUUACCGAUGCUCCAAACUAAACCCUCCGCUUGUCCGUAGGUCACCAGCGUUCCUGCGAAGGCGAGGUUUCGACGGUCGGCAAGAGUGGUUUCGCGUGCUAAAUGCCCCGAAUGCUUCUCCACUGGCACGGAUUCGCCGGUGAGCGCCGCUUCGUCCACUUGAAGGCUGCGGA